GACGAACCGUGCGAACGUUGUUCGGAUUCACUGGGCUUAAAGGGCGCGUAGGCGGCUUGCCAAGUCAGGGGUGAAAUCUUUCGGCUCAACCGGAAAAGUGCUUCUGAUACUGGCAGGCUGGAGGGAGGUAGGGGCAGAUGGAACUUCCGGUGGAGCGGUGAAAUGCGUAGAUAUCGUUUGGAACGCCAAUGGUGAAAACAGGUCGCUGGGGAUGAGCUGACGCUGAGACACGAAAGCCAGGGGAGCAAACGGG
rnacentral:rRNA from 1 species